rnacentral:rRNA from 1 species
AGAUCCAUUAGCGUAUAUUAAAGUUGUUGCAGUUAAAAAACUUGUAGUUGGAUUUCUGGUGGGAGGGAUCGGUCCAGCACUUUGUGUGAGAACUUGUAUUCUCUCCGGCAAUCCUUGGGUGGAUCUUUUCUGGAAUUAAGUUGUCAAUCAGGGGAUGCCCGUCGUUUACUGUGAAAAAAUUAGAGUGUUCAAAGUUGGCUUAUGCAAUUGAAUAUAUUAGCAUGGAAUAAUAAGAUAGGGCUCUGGUACUAUUUUGUUAGUUUGCGUACCUAGGUAAUGAUUAAUAGGGACAGUUGGGUUUAUUUGUAUUCAAUAUUUAGUGGUGAAAUAAGUAGACCUACGGAAGACAAACUACUGCAAAAGCAUUUACCAAGGAUGUUUUCA